rnacentral:rRNA from 1 species
UACGGAGGGUGCGAGCGUUAUCCGGAUUCACUGGGUUUAAAGGGUGCGUAGGUGGGCAGGUAAGUCAGUGGUGAAAUCUCCGGGCUUAACCCGGAAACUGCCAUUGAUACUAUCAGUCUUGAAUACCGUGGAGGUAAGCGGAAUAUGUCAUGUAGCGGUGAAAUGCUUAGAUAUGACAUAGAACACCAAUUGCGAAGGCAGCUCACUACGCGAAUAUUGACACUGAGGCACGAAAGCGUGGGGAUCAAACAGG